AAAGGAAUAGACGGGGGCCCGCACAAGCGGUGGAGCAUGUGGUUUAAUUCGAAGCAACGCGAAGAACCUUACCAGGUCUUGACAUCUUCUGACAAACCUAGAGAUAGGCCGUUCCCUUCGGGGACAGAAUGACAGGUGGUGCAUGGUUGUCGUCAGCUCGUGUCGUGAGAUGUUGGGUUAAGUCCCGCAACGAGCGCAACCCUUAUUAUUAGUUGCCAGCAUUUAGUUGGGCACUCUAAUGAGACUGCCGGUGACAAACCGGAGGAAGGUGGGGAUGACGUCAAAUCAUCAUGCCCCUUAUGACCUGGGCUACACACGUGCUACAAUGGACGGUACAACGAGUUGCGAGACCGCGAGGUUAAGCUAAUCUCUUAAAGCCGUUCUCAGUUCGGAUUGUAGGCUGCAACUCGCCUACAUGAAGUUGGAAUCGCUAGUAAUCGCGGAUCAGAAUGCCGCGGUGAAUACGUUCCCGGGCCUUGUACACACCGCCCGU
rnacentral:rRNA from 1 species